UCAAACUUGGUCAUUUAGAGGAAGUAAAAGUCGUAACAAGGUCUCCGUUGGUGAACCAGCGGAGGGAUCAUUACCGAGUUUACAACUCCCAAACCCAUGUGAACGUACCAAUCGUUGCUUCGGCGGGUUGCCCUCGGGCGCCCGUCGGGGACCCUAAACUCUUGAUUUUACAACUGGAAUUCUGAGUGGCCGCAAGGCAAACAAAUAAAUUAAAACUUUCAACAACGGAUCUCUUGGUUCUGGCAUCGAUGAAGAACGCAGC
rnacentral:misc_RNA from 1 species